rnacentral:rRNA from 1 species
CUUGUCUCUUAAUUGGAGGCUUGAAUGAAGGGUUGGACGAGAUAUAGACUUUCUUUAUUAUAAUUAGUUGAAUUUGACUUUUGAGUCAAAAGGCUUAAAUUUAUUUAUAGGACGAGAAGACCCUAUAGAAUUUUAUAUUUUUAUAUUAAUAAUUUAUUUGUUUAUAAUUAGAUUUUUUAUCUAAAAAUAUUUUGUUGGGGCGAUGGGAAGAUUUUUUUAACUCU